AUAGAGACUCAGAGCUGCAUAUCAAUAAGCGGAGGAAAAGAAACUAACUAGGAUUCCCCUAGUAACGGCGAGUGAAGCGGGAAGAGCUCAAAUUUGAAAUCUUAAAGGGUUUCUACCUUGACGAAUUGUAGUUUAAAGAAGUGUUUUCUGUUGGAGUUUUCGGUAAAAGUUCUUUGGAAUAGGACAUCAUAGAGGGUGAGAAUCCCGUAUUUGACCAUUACUUUCCAGCUGUGUGAUACACUUUCAAGAGUCGGAUUGUUUGGGAAUGCAGUCCAAAAUGGGUGGUAAAUUUCAUCUAAAGCUAAAUAUUGGCGAGAGACCGAUAGCGAACAAGUACCGUGAGGGAAAGAUGAAAAGAGCUUUGAAAAGAGAGUUAAACAGUACGUGAAAUUGUCAAAAGGGAAGCGUUUGACACCAGUGUUGUUUUUCCGAAAAUCAAUUACGAAUGUUUUGUUUCUGAGGAGUGAUGACUUCAUCGGCUUCCUUCUCUCUUCACGAAACUUUUGUAAUGCACUUUCCGGUUAACAAGUCAACAUCAAUUUCUUUUGUUGUAAAAGAGUAUUCGGAAGGUGGCUUUCUUUUCGGAGAAAGUGUUUAUAGCCCUAUACUUCUACAAUCGGAGAGAUUGAGGUCUGCAGCGUAGAUCCUUCGGGGUUAGAUACACUUGUGCUAAGUUAUAGCUUUUCAUAGACAACUUGUUGACUAUGUUUAGUCUUGUAGCUUACUCGCUUGUGCUAUUUUACCUACGCUUAGGAUGUUGAAGUCAUCGUAUCGCGC
rnacentral:rRNA from 1 species